UUCUACUUCAAAAAUCAAUCUUGGUUAUUGUAAUUGAAAUUCUGUCUCUCUAAACUUUAGAGAGAGGAACUUCUCUCUUUUUUUUUUAAUUUUGAUUUUUUCUGGGUCUGAGGCUUUGUCCCUUUUCUGCCAAUUUGCAGCGUCCUCAGCCCCUCGAAAGCACGGAGGCUUCCUCUUUCUUCGCCCAACAGGGAGUCUUCACUCCCUUUUUGGGGUUGAUUUGUAAAUACGAGUUUUGAUUUUUUGCAGGUCUAAAGCUUCAUUGGUCUGGCUA
rnacentral:misc_RNA from 1 species